AACGAACGCUGGCGGCAUGCCUAACACAUGCAAGUCGAACGAUGGUCUUCGGAUCAUAGUGGCGCACGGGUGCGUAACGCGUGGGAAUCUGCCCUUGGGUUCGGAAUAACAGUUGGAAACGACUGCUAAUACCGGAUGAUGUCGAUAAGACCAAAGAUUUAUCGCCCGAGGAUGAGCCCGCGUCGGAUUAGCUAGUUGGUGGGGUAAAGGCCUACCAAGGCGACGAUCCGUAGCUGGUCUGAGAGGAUGAUCAGCCACACUGGGACUGAGACACGGCCCAGAUUCCUCGGGGGGGCAGCGGUGGGGAAUAUUGAACAUUGGGCGCAGGCCUGACCCGCCAUUGCCGGGUAAGUGAUGAAGGCCUUAGGUUGUAAAGCUCUUUUACCCGGGAAGAUAAUGACUGUACCGGGAGAAUAAGCCCCGGCUAACUCCGUG
rnacentral:rRNA from 1 species